CCACUCUUUGGGAAGCAUAUUGGUUAUAUAUGCAAGUAAAUUACCAGUAAUGGUGACAAGAAGGCAACAUUUAAACAGAUGCAUUUAAAAGCUGUUAAAAAAAUAAAGAAUCUACACAAUAUAGACACAACCUAAACAUAUUCCCUGACAGCCAGAUAUAUGCCAAAUUAGUUUAUUUAAAAAUUGAUUCUGUUCAAAGUUUUAAACAGAAGAUUCUAUAUCAUGUUUGAUGAAAGUAUGAAAUACUGUUUACAGGUUAAACAUUAGAAAUGUUUAUCAGUGUUUAAAAUGGGCCUGAGCUGAUUAAUACAUCAGUGCAGAGUGAAGUAAUUUAGCCCUACAUUAUGGAGCGCUCAGAAUUUGACACAUUUUAUUAUUGAAGAUUGUGUCUUAGCAUUGCUUAAAUAAAUGUUUUUUUUUUAAUUAUUUAAAUAUAUUUAAUGUAAAUAUAGGCCUACUAUAAUCAGUUUUGAUAUACAUUCUUGUCUACUCUGAUGUUUUAAACACGCUAUGGUCAUUAAAAUGUGCUGCGAAAGCAUAGAAAAGGCACAGAAAAUAAUUUAAAUUUAUAGGUUAACACUAUUUGUAAUCUACAUGUGUAUACAUAUUUUACCCUUGUUUUCUUUUUUUCCAGAGGGAAUUAUAAAAUAAGCUAAAGACUUUCAUGUUUACUACAACUUAAUUAUUAAUCAUGUACCAGUGUUUUAUAGCAAAUGUAACCAAAAAAUGUCCCACAUUAUAUGUCCCAGGUUAUAAUUUUUUGCAUUGUCAGCGAUACCAGACGCACAUUCACACACACACAAUGGAAACAUGAAAAGCUAGACGUGCUAAUGAAACGUAAAAUACUACUGCUUUUACUACUGUUGAUGUUUGGUGCAGCCAUCUUGCGUUCUGAACUUGUGGGUUUAUUCCAGUUGAAAUGUUCUACUUAGAACUUGGAAAUUUCCAGUUCUGAAUUCCUACUUCAGAUGGAAUGCAGUAUAAGGAUUCACAUUAGAGCUCGACCCAACCUGCCCCAUACACUGUCAUUUUGAGCCAAAGCCCGAAUUAAACCUGACAUUUUUUGACCAACCCACUCGUUAGGACUCCCCCUAUCACUAGUAAUGCCCCAACACACCAGGAGGAUGAAGACUAGCACACUCUUUCUCCGAUACAUGUGAAGUCAGCCACCGCUUCUUUUCGAGCUGCUGCUGAUGCAGCAUUGCCAAGCAGCCAGCACAUUUGGAGGAAAGCGCAGCGGCAGGUGAACCCGAGGAACCUGAGGAAAGUGGUGGGAAAUCUCGAGCCAGGUCAGACCUUGGGUUGGGUUUGGGCAGAGAACCUAAGCUCUUAUUCACAUAUUGAACUUUGUGUGUGUUCUCAGUGACAUGUUGAACUACACUGCCAGUUUGAGGGAAUGUCAUUGCCAUCCACUGCAAAGGAGGCAAAGGGCGCACGGGUACGAUGGUGUGUACAUGGUUGAUUGACAGCGUUUAGUUUGAGAGUGCGCAGGUGUGGGAAAGGGCAAUGGCAGUGAUCUGAAGGUGCGGAUCAUAGUGAAAAGAGAGCAGGUGUGCCAGUGUGUCUGUGCCACGCAGACGAACUGUAGGGUAAGCUAACUUUUAAAGGUUUUCUACAGUAUAAACCUGUAUUUACUUCCUCAUAGUCAAAUGACAAGAGUAGUUUCAGUACAAAAAAGUGAAAAACUGUGAACCUUAAACACAGUGGUUUCCUAAUUAAAACCAGAGCUAUAUGGCAUAUCCAGAACAGACAUGUGAAGUGGGCUAAUCCCACAACCCCUAAAUGAUUUAGUAGUUUAGGGUGAUUUCACACCUACUUUUUUAUGUGUCAAAAUAAACUGUUCAUAUUUACGUGUAGUGCUGUUUGUUUGGACAUGGAUGAGUACAGUAAUCACAACUGCAAUGAGACUGCUGAGAACUGUUGGUCUGAACUCUGAAUUGGUUGGUUUGUGAUGUGAACAUGAUCUGACCUUGAUCCAACCCAUCUGUCAAGCAUACUCUGUCAGUUUUAAGAUGUGGAGUCAGUCAAAUGAACACAUGCCACCUCUGCUGUUGUUCCAUGUUAAACUGCACAGAAAUCUGUUUACUUUCUUGCUCCCAGCCAAGACAGCUCUGACCAACAACCAAACAGAUUACAAAGAUUGUUGUGACUCGUUUUGGUGAGCUUGAAUUUUAUCCUCUGUUAAAACAACAAACCAUGAGGGAAAUGCUCCAAGAGAAUCAAUUAAUUACCUGACUUGGACCAGAGCAAACAAACUAUAGUGUGAAAAAACAUACACUAUUAAAAGAUUUUGUACAUACAUACACUAGUGAAAGCGUUUGUGAAUCGGUAUCAUCUUAACCCCAAAUCAUAUUUUAAAUAUGUACUAAAGAACAACUUUUAAAUAUUCAAUAAGCUCAUAAUAUUGAACCUUUAAAGACAGUAGCAGCCCACUAAAAACAUAAAUCACAUUGUAAUUGUUGGGAAAGGUCUUUCAGAUGUUUGUCUUAUGUUCCUUUGUGUUUAUUUUACUGUUCGCUCAUAUACUGUGUUCUCAUAUUUUACCAGAUACUGAAAACAAUGCCGUGGUGAUCAGCUUUCAGGAAGGGCCAGUGGUUUGUGGUGAUGUUAAGGUCAUGUUUGAAUCCAGGGCUGGUCUUCCAAAGGGGUAUGAGGACUAUCCUUUCUAUUUCUGGUUCAACACUUCAUUUGUAGAGAACAACAGGCUCUAUCUGUCAAGGGAGGAACUGGACAACCCACGUAAGUCCAAAACCUGGGACAUCUACAAGGAGGACUUUGGUGUGACCGUGUCUUUCAGUGACCCUGCACUUAUGUAGCAGACGACACUUGCUUGUGUAUCUCAACUAAAACCCUUAAGCCCUGCACAAGGUCUAAAUCUUUGCUCUAAUGUAGGUUUUCACACACUUAUAAAAGGUGAGUGAUGUUUAGGGAUUGGAUUCGGGCUAUAUAACCUCAACUUUGUCCAUCCCCCAUCUUCACUGUAAGAGCUUUUUACUGAGCCGUGCGUUACACCACAAUAUUAUGCAUUUGUUUGUCAAAUGUUUUUUUUGUCUUUAAAUGAAGACAAAUGUUUGUGUCAGUUUAGCAUAUUAAGCCUCCAAAAUGUAAAUCUUACUCUUUAAGCUUGAGUGUACAUCAAAUAAAGCAAUCGAGGCUGCCACUGUGAAAUGGUCAAUGGUUAUGUGUGCAGAAACAUGUUUUUGUAGUACACAUGUAUUGAAAUAAAUACUAAUGUCUCUGUAA